AGAUUGAACGCUGGCGGCAUGCCUUACACAUGCAAGUCGAACGGUAACGCGGGGCAACCUGGCGACGAGUGGCGAACGGGUGAGUAAUGCAUCGGAACGUGCCCAGUAGUGGGGGAUAGCUCGGCGAAAGCCGGAUUAAUACCGCAUACGACCUAAGGGUGAAAGCGGGGGACCGUAAGGCCUCGCGCUAUUGGAGCGGCCGAUGUCAGAUUAGGUUGUUGGUGGGGUAAAAGCCUACCAAGCCGACGAUCUGUAGCUGGUCUGAGAGGACGACCAGCCACACUGGGACUGAGACACGGCCCAGACUCCUACGGAGGCAGCAGUGGGAAUUUUGGACAAGUGGGGGCAACCCGUGAU
rnacentral:rRNA from 1 species